UACGGAGGGUGCGAGCGUUGUCCGGAAUCACUGGGCGUAAAGGGCGCGUAGGUGGCGCGGAAAGUCAACGGUGAAAGCUUGGGGCUCAACCCCGAGUCGGCCGUCGAUACUUCUGGGCUUGAGCACUGUAGAGGCAGGUGGAAUUCCGGGUGUAGCGGUGGAAUGCGUAGAGAUCGGGAAGAACAUCGGUGGCGAAGGCGGCCAGCUGGGCCAUUGCUGACGCUGAUGCGCGACAGCGUGGGGAGCAAACAGG
rnacentral:rRNA from 1 species